rnacentral:rRNA from 1 species
UACGUAGGGGGCUAGCGUUGUCCGGAAUCAUUGGGCGUAAAGAGCGUGUAGGCGGCCCGGUAAGUCCGCUGUGAAAGUCGGGGGCUCAACCCUCGGAUGCCGGUGGAUACUGUCGGGCUCGAGUACGGAAGAGGCGAGUGGAAUUCCUGGUGUAGCGGUGAAAUGCGCAGAUAUCAGGAGGAACACCUAUUGCGAAGGCAGCUCGCUGGGACGUUACUGACGCUGAGACGCGAAAACGUGGGGAGCGAACAGG